GUUGGUGCUGGGCAGUGGUGGCAUGCAGAGCUGGAGUCUUCUGUAAAAACAGCAGACCCUAGAAAGAAGAGUGUGAGCAGCCUUUUAGGGAGCAGAUCUGCUGAGGGUAGCGACCAGUAGGACAGGAGGUGAACACUCACUGAAAGGUGCUGAAUGCUUCAGGGACAUACUGUAGCGAAAACGUCAGGAGAGGACUCACAGAGAAAAGUUUAUUCACAUCAAUGUCUUCCCUAGUGGACCUAUACAGUUGCCAGUGCCUACCAGAAUCAGAAUCAGUUUAUUGCCAAGUACAGUAGUACAUAAUACACAAGGAAUUUGUUUCCGAUAACCACAGCUCCCUGACAGUAUAUGACAUACGACAAGAAACAUAAGGAAGGAAGAACACAUGACGAUGAAACUUUGCUAUCAAAACCAUUACGAAUAGCCCCAACACUGCUGAGAUUUGUGCUUAGUAAAUUCCCGUGUUGCCACUUAGAAAAAAAAACAAAAAUCGGACAAACUCGGAACUUUAGAUAAUAAACCCCGAUGACUUGGAAAACAGGUCGAGAAGAAAGAACCUCAGGAUUGUGGGAUUACCUGAGAACAUUAAAGGCACUGACAUGUUGAAUUUAUUAAAGUUGGAGCUGUUCACACUGUUAAAAAUGGAGGAGGCUUGUUCCGAUUUGAUAAUAGAGAGAUCCCACCGUACUGGACCUUGUUGCAUAUGAACCCAGGGGCCAGAACGCGGGUGGUUUUGUUUCGCUGCCUAAAUUUUUUACACAAAGAUGCUCUAUGGAAAGCCUCCCAGAAGCACCGAAACCUAAAGUGGGAAGGCAAUAACAUUCAUCUUUUCCAGGAUUAUUCUGUGGAAUUAACAAAGGGUAGAAAGGCGUUCUCCCCUAUAUGCACACAUCUCGUACAGCAAGGCAAGAAAUUUGAUGGCUCCUCUUAUGUGGACUUUCUGGACCCGGAUGAUGCUCAAGCCUACCUUGACAAGGAAUAUACUGCCAGGGGUUCAACCAGGGCAGAGGCCACUAGUCCAGAAUGAAUAUUGUUACUCUUAUGCAAGUGUUAUACCUUUACUGUUGUUUACAAGUUUCUUUUUUUGGAUAUGUGCAUUGUACCCUUACAAUGUGACAGUUUAUUCUCGUGUACAGAGGAGACUAUAUGGACUGUGUCUGUUUACGUUAUGUUGAGGAGAAAUCAUGAGCCUCUAGUAUUUACCCACAUGCCAAUUGUAUAUUAUAUUUCACCAUAUGGGCACAGAUGCUUUUCUGGAUUCUCUUUGUAUUAUUCUCUGAGAGACUCAGUGUGACACACUGUAAACACAUACGCCUUGCUUCUUAUAAGGCGACACUAGUUGCUUUAUUAUAUUUUAAUGUGCAUGUCCCCAAAAUGUUUUUAUAUUCUGUCAUCUACACAGGCGACAAUGUUUUUUGAUAUUUUAUAAGUUGCUCCACUGGUUUUUGACUAUGCUCCAACCCCCCCCCCCCCCUUCCUUUCCCUAGAAAUUUCUGUGUCUAUAUUGCUGUGAAUGUAAUAAUUAUUUAUGCAUAAACUGUGUUUUUGGUGAACCAUUAGUUGUUACAUAUACAUAAAAUCAGCUAUAAGGUUUAUA